AAUUUGAACAAUCUGCAGUGUGUAUUUCUUCAUGUUUUUUACAUCUUCUCAUAAACAGAGAUAAAGGCAAAAUAGUACAUGCCAAGACAGUAAAACAGCUAUCUGAAGGCAUAUUUAGAUUGAUAAAGGAAAACCAAUUUGUUAAAUCUGUAAAAAAAUUAGUUACAAAGAGUUCAGGCAAAGUAAUGUUAGAAGCAUAGUCUCAAGACUGCACAAUUUCAGUAUGACAUACAUAUAAAAUACAGAAAAAAUAUGAAAAGGACAGAGAAUAUGAAGUCUAAUUAUUGUAAUACCUUUCUGAAGUAAUGAGAAACUUGAGAGUAUGGCUGACAAACAGGUACUAGACUUUCAAGUAGAAAAUAUGCAUUCCAUCAAAAGUUAAACAGAUGUCCACAAAAAAUGUUUUUUCAUUGGAUAGAGUCGGAUGUGCAAAAUGAGAAACAUGCAAAUACAUAAUUUUCAAUGGAUAACCUGGAAUAAAGGCUGAGCUCGUCUUCCAUGAAUACCUUUGUUAUGAUUAAAGUGGUUAUUACACACUUACUAGCUAUGCAUGUAGUCUUUGGCUUCAUGUUGGUGAAUGAAGAGUAAAUCAGAGGUUAUGCUAAACACCUGAAUAAAGGAACCUCUUAAUUACAGCCCAGUAAGUGUCAGGGUUGACAGCAAGCCUGUCAGCAGCCUGGCAUUUAUCUACGAAGCAGUGGACAUAAACCAAAUUACAGGAUACCCCUGAAAGGAAGAGAACACAGCAUGCAGAAGAAUGUGGGCAACUUUCAGACAGGAAGAAGAUGGAAGACAGAAAUGGACUUCCUGUACUUUCUGCAAGUCAGGAUGACUGGACAAAAGCUGUGUUUACUAGUUUGCAACCAAUCCUGGUGUGUGUAUACAUGAAAGUACCAAUAGAAGGAUGACAUGUGUAUAGCCUGAUAUAUGUUUACAUGGAAGGCACCAAUAGAAAGUUGACAUGUAUGAUAUGUGAAAAGUAUAAAUGUUUGCAACCUGUUACAAUAAAGUGUUUACAGCCUUCUUGUAA